rnacentral:rRNA from 1 species
GACGAACGCUGGCUGCGUGCUUAACACAUGCAAGUCGAACGGUAAGGCCCUUCGGGGUACACGAGUGGCGAACGGGUGAGUAACACGUGGGUGAUCUGCCCUGCACUUCGGGAUAAGCCUGGGAAACUGGGUCUAAUACCGGAUAGGACCACUGCCCGCAUGGGUGGUGGUGGAAAGCUUUUGGGUUGUGGGAUGGGCCCGCGGCCUAUCAGCUUGUUGGUGGGGUGAUGGCCUACCAAGGCGACGACGGGUAGCCGGCCUGAGAGGGUGACCGGCCACACUGGGACUGAGAUACGGCCCAGACUCCUACGGGAGGCAGCAGUGGGGAAUAUUGCACAAUGGGCGCAAGCCUGAUGCAGCGACGCCGCGUGAGGGAUGACGGCCUUCGGGUUGUAAACCUCUUUCAGCACCGACGAAGCGCAAGUGACGGUAGGUGCAGAAGAAGGACCGGCCAACUACGUGCCAGCCGCCGCCGUAA